CAAUGGACGAAAGUCUGAUGGAGCGACACAGCGUGCAGGAUGAAGGCCCUAUGGGUUGUAAACUGCUGUGGUUAGGGAAGAAAAAGUAGCAUAGGAAAUGAUGCUACCUUGACGGUACCUGAUUAGAAAGCAACGGCUAACUAUGUGCCAGCAGCCGCGGUAAUACAUAGGUUGCAAGCGUUAUCCGAAAUUAUUGGGCGUAAAGCGUCUGUAGGUUGUUUGUUAAGUCUGGCGUUAAAUUUUGGGGCUCAACCCCAAAACGCGUUGGAUACUGGCAGACUAGAGUUAUGUAGAGGUUAGCGGAAUUCCUUGUGAAGCGGUGAAAUGCGUAGAUAUAAGGAAGAACAUCAAUAUGGCGAAGGCAGCUAACUGGGCAUACACUGACACUGAGAGACGAAAGCGUGGGGAGCAAACAGGAUUAGAUACCCUGGUAGUCCACGCCCUAAACGAUGAUCAUUAGUUGAUGGGGAACUCAUCGACGCAGCUAACGCAUUAAAUGAUCCGCCUGAGUAGUACGUUCGCAAGAAUAAAACUUAAAGGAAUUGACGGGGAUCCGCACAAGCGGUGGAGCAUGUGGUUUAAUUUGAUGUUACGCGUAGAACCUUACCCACUCUUGACAUCUUCUGCAAAGCUAUGGAGACAUAGUGGAGGUUAACAGAAUGACAGAUGGUGCAUGGUUGUCGUCAGCUCGUGUCGUGAGAUGUUCGGUUAAGUCCUGCAACGAGCGCAACCCUUAUCCUUAGUUACUACCAUUUAGUUGAGCACUCUAAGGAGACUGCCCGAGUAAUCGGGAGGAAGGUGGGGACGACGUCAAAUCAUCAUGCCUCUUACGAGUGGGGCUACACACGUGCUACAAUGGACGGUACAAAGAGAAGCGAAGUGGUGACAUGGAGCAAACCUCAAAAAACCGUUCUCAGUUCGGAUUGAAGUCUGCAACUC
rnacentral:rRNA from 2 species